UACGUAGGGUGCAAGCGUUAAUCGGAAUUACUGGGCGUAAAGAGCCCGCAGGCGGCUUGGCAAGUUUGAGGUGAAAUCUCCCGGCUUAACUGGGAGGGGGCCUCGAAAACUGCCAGGCUUGAGGCAUGGAGAGGGAUGCGGAAUUCCCGGUGUAGAGGUGAAAUGCGUAGAUAUCGGGAGGAACACCAAUGGCGAAGGCAGCUCGCUGGGACGGUACUGACGCUGAGACGCGAAAGCGUGGGGAGCAAACAGG
rnacentral:rRNA from 1 species